UGAGGAAUAUUGGUCAAUGGGCGGGAGCCUGAACCAGCCAAGUCGCGUGAAGGAAGAAGGAUCUAUGGUUCGUAAACUUCUUUUGCAGGGGAAUAAAGUGCAGGACGUGUCCUGUUUUGUAUGUACCCUGAGAAUAAGGAUCGGCUAACUCCGUGCCAGCAGCCGCGGUAAUACGGAGGAUCCGAGCGUUAUCCGGAUUUAUUGGGUUUAAAGGAUGCGUAGGUGGUUUGAUAAGUCAGCGGUGAAAGUUUGCAGCUUAACUGUAAAAAUGCCGUUGAAACUGUCGGACUUGAGUGUAAAUGAGGUCGGCGGAAUGCGUGGUGUAGCGGUGAAAUGCAUAGAUAUCACGCAGAACUCCGAUUGCGAAGGCAGCUUACUAAGCUACAACUGACACUGAAGCACGAAAGCGUGGGGAUCAAACA
rnacentral:rRNA from 1 species